UGUCUGGUGGCCGCCGAGCAACAUGAUC
rnacentral:sRNA from 1 species